GGAACCCAGUGGAGAGCCGUGUUGCUGCAGCGGGAGGACUGACGAUGGCUUCUUCUUGGACAUCACGUCCUUGGCACCUGGGGACGAAUGAGGAGGAGCUUUAAACAGGCAGAUACACAAGACGGAGGCUCACCUUCGACUUCUCGUCUGUGAAAAUUCCGGUGGCAGUCGCAGGCCGAGCACUUGAGCGACUCGAUGGUGCCUUCUUCUCCGCUGGGCAUGAAUUCUCCGCAGCCGUCGAGAGCAUGACCACCGAUGCCAGCGGCGUGGUUCUUGAGGCACUCCCUGUACCGCACCGGCUUCUUGCUCGGCUCAACUUUGGAGCCAUUAGUGGUGGUGGCGGUGUUUGGAGUUCCGGCUGCAAGAGGUUGUGCUAGGAUGGGCUCAGCGAAAGUAGCUCGCGACGCUGCAACCACUGCUGCCGCGGCUUCUUCCACGGCUGUGACGGGCGUGACUCCGUUGGCACCACUGGCCAUGAGCUUCAACUUGUUGGACGAGUCAUGAAGUUGCUGCUGUUGCUGAGACAAAGCCCCCGAGAGUGUGGAGCGAGCUUGACCCGGGGGGGAUUUACAGCAACUCGAGUGGAAAAUCCUUCGGCUAAACCACCACUUGUGUAAGUCGCUGGCUUGUGCUAAUGGACCUCGCUUGCUUGCGUGCUUGCAGUAGUAGUACCAAAGUGGAUAAACUGCAGAUUGAAGAGAGAGGAUUUGGCACAAGCGCUGAGAAAAGAAUGUUGUUGGUGUUACCCGGCUCUUAUCUACUGGUAAUGGAAUUCCAAUCCUGGUCUCCUUGGAAACUUAGACUUCACUUUGCUCCAGGUAUCCAUCCCAUGCCGCGGUUUUGUGGAACAGUGCGUGUGACACAAAACAACGCUCUAAGGAAGCAAGAAAAGGAGUCUUAUCUCUCCGGGGUCACUCAAAACGAAGGGAUGAGAAAUUCUUGGACUUUAAACGCUAAUCCGCUGGCACAUCACUGGGAGUCGUACUGCUGGGCUCAACUUAACUCGAACACUGCACAAAGAGAAGGGAGAUCGAAUGGCUUAGAGCUCAAGAAAUCACACAGGCCACAGGAGGAAGGAGCAAGAGUUAUGCGAGACGAGAGCUUGGAUUGGAAUCCAGGUCAGAGCAAAGCAAAGAAACGCAUUAUUACGAAGAAGAUAAUCAUCAAGCUCUUGCAAUCACUCAACUCAAGGUGCUGCUCAACCGGACUGACUUAGUGCUCAAGCCAAGACUAAGCAAGUGAAUCAGCAAAGCACUGAUCUGAUGCUGCUCCGGCUGCUGCUGCUACUGCAUCAUUAGCAGCAGUGUGCCCAGCAAGGAAGGAAAAAAGAAGGAAAAGAAAGAAAGAGGAGGAAAAGGAAUCAAUCAGAGCUCAGAGCACAGCCAGGAAAAACGCAACAAGAUCAAGCAGCUCAAAACAGUGACCCCUAGCUACCAGGUAACUCUCUUAUCUUUCCAGGAUAUCUCAAGAUCAGUCUUAACUUUCCAGGGACGAAGAAGACGAAGAAGGAGGAGAUGAAGAAACUGCUGCUGCUGCUUAAUAGUAGUAAGCUGGAAACUUUGGUGCUGGUCUUGCUGAUGUCGAGAUGAUGAUGCAGUGAUGAAAGAAAAAAAACCAGGAGCUUGGAUGCUAA